rnacentral:rRNA from 1 species
GACGAACGCUGGCGGCGUGCUUAACACAUGCAAGUCGAACGAAGUGGCGAACGGGUGAGUAACGCGUAAUAAACCUGCCCUUCAGCGGGGGACAACAGUUGGAAACGACUGCUAAUACCGCAUACUGAAGGUGGGGAUGGCGUCUGAGACGCUGGUUGGAGGGUUAACGGCCGACCAAGGCGAGGAUCAGUAGACGGUCGGAGAGGAUGAACGGCCACAUUGGGACUGGGACACGGCCGUUACUCCUACGGGAGGCAGCAUUGGGGAAUAUGGGACAAUGGACCAAAGUCUGAUCGAGCAAUUCUGUGUGCACGAUGAAGUUUUUCGGAAUGUAAAGUGCUUUCAGUUGGGAAGCGGUACCAACAGAAGAAGUGACGGCUAAAUACGUGCCAGCCGCCGCGGUAAUUC